UAACAAUUGUUGACUGCCGCUUAAGGUUAGGGGCAGACGCGGGGCGCCAGACCAGGCCAGAGCCAGACGGACCGCGGAGGCGUGGAUGGCAGACCUGGGACGGGGAACCGUCUACCGCUACCGGCAGCAGAGUCAUAAUACCAGAUAUAUCAGAUACUGGCGCGACACACGUAAAAUGUGCUUUUUUCAGCUUUUUUUCCAGCGCUAGCACCUUCCGGUAGUAAGCUGGUUUUCAGGUAGCAUGGAUAGAUGGCAUUACUAGGGAAGGUGCGCCGAUAUUGAAUGGUCAAAAGGAGAGAAAAGCUGGAAAAAAGACUUCAGAAAAAAGACUUGUACUACAUUCGAAAUGUUUAUAUUUUAAAAUGUCAGUAUAUUCUGACAACGGUUUCCAGUAGGCCUAAAUACCAAGAAAAAGUACAGAUUAUUUGAACCAAUUAAAAUGUAUAUUGCUCCUGUAACAACAACAAAAGAAACGUCCCAGAAUGUGGGUAUUCAAAAGCAGAUUUUUUUCUGAUUAUUUACAUAAAGCCACACUGAAAAGCAUUC